GGCCCCAUCGUCUAGUGGCCUAGGACACCGCCCUCUCACGGCGGAAACCCGGGUUCGAAUCCCGGUGGGGUCACCA
rnacentral:tRNA from 1 species